GUUUCAGGGCGGGGUGAAAUUCCCCACUGGCGGUAACGGGAGCGCAGGCGCACGGUCGCCGGUGCCAGUCCCGAAGUCCGCGACCCGCGAAUACGCGGUUGACCUGGUGAGAUUCCAGGACCAACGGUAUAGUCCGGAUGGAAGAAA
rnacentral:ncRNA from 1 species